rnacentral:rRNA from 1 species
GUGGGGCCUGAUGUGUGGUUCAAGCGAUGGGGUGACACAGUGGGGUAGCCAUGCCGCUUAGUGGAUUGUUGGUGUAAGCGUGUAGGUGAUGGUGUAGGUAAAUCCGCACUUGUUAUGCUGAGACGUGAUGCGUAGCCUUAAUUGGUGAAGUUGGUGAUCCCGUACUGUCGAGAAAAGCCUCUAGCGAUGUAUAUACUCGGCCCGUACCCCAAACCGACACAGGUAGUCAGGUUGAAAAUACUAAGGCGUUCGGGUGAACUGUGGUUAAGGAACUCGGCAAAAUGCCCCCGUAACUUCGGGAGAAGGGGGACCCUAUGGCGUGAACACCCAUUUGCGGUGGGAAGCGUUGUGGGGUCGCAGAGAAUAGAGGGAAGCGACUGUUUAUCAAAAACACAGGUCCAUGCGAAGACGUUAAGUUGAUGUAUAUGGACUGACGCCUGCCCGGUGCUGGAAGGUUAAGAGGACCGGUUAAUCAAGCUUUGCUUGGUGAAGCUGAGAAUUUAAGCCCCAGUAAACGGCGGUGGUAACUAUAACCAUCCUAAGGUAGCGAAAUUCCUUGUCGGGUAAGUUCCGACCUGCACGAAUGGCGUAACGACUUCCCUGCUGUCUCAACCACAGGCCCGGUGAAAUUGCACUACGAGUAAAGAUGCUCGUUACGCGCGGCAGGACGAAAAGACCCCGGGACCUUCACUAUAGCUUGGUAUUGGUGUUCGGUUCGGUUUGUGUAGGAUAGGUGGGAGACUAUGAGGCGUGUGCGCCAGCACGCGUGGAGUCGUUGUUGAAAUACCACUCUGAUCGGAUUGGAUACCUUAACCUUGGCCCAUGAUCUGGGUUGGGGACAGUGCCUGGUGGGUAGUUUAACUGGGGCGGUUGCCUCCCAAAAUGUAACGGAGGCGCCCAAAGGUUCCCUCAGCCUGGUUGGCAAUCAGGUGGUGAGUGUAAGUGCACAAGGGAGCUUGACUGUGAGAGUGACAGCUCGAACAGGGACGAAAGUCGGGACUAGUGAUCCGGCACCUACUUGUGGAUGUGGUGUCGCUCAACGGAUAAAAGGUACCCCGGGGAUAACAGGCUGAUCUUCCCCAAGAGUCCAUAUCGACGGGAUGGUUUGGCACCUCGAUGUCGGCUCGUCGCAUCCUGGGGCUGGAGUAGGUCCCAAGGGUUGGGCUGUUCGCCCAUUAAAGCGGCACGCGAGCUGGGUUCAGAACGUCGUGAGACAGUUCGGUCUCUAUCCGCCGCGCGCGUUGAAACUUGAAGAAGGCUGUCCCUAGUACGAGAGGACCGGGACGGACGUACCUCUAGUGUGCCAGUUGUUCCGCCAGGAGCAUCGCUGGUUGGCUACGUACGGAAGGGAUAACCGCUGAAAGCAUCUAAGCGGGAAGCCUGUUUUAAGAUGAGGUUUCAUUUGAGGUCCCCUAAAGACUAUGGGGUUGAUAGGCCAGACAUGGAAGCACCGCAAGGUGUGGAGUCUACUGGUACUAAUAGACCAAAACAAACACACACGAC